rnacentral:rRNA from 1 species
AUUGAACGCUGGCGGCAUGCCUUACACAUGCAAGUCGAACGGCAGCACGGGUGCUUGCACCUGGUGGCGAGUGGCGAACGGGUGAGUAAUACAUCGGAACAUGUCCUGUAGUGGGGGAUAGCCCGGCGAAAGCCGGAUUAAUACCGCAUACGAUCUACGGAUGAAAGCGGGGGACCUUCGGGCCUCGCGCUAUAGGGGUGGCCGAUGGCUGAUUAGCUAGUUGGUGGGGUAAAGGCCUACCAAGGCGACGAUCCGUAGCUGGUCUGAGAGGACGACCAGCCACACUGGGACUGAGACACGGCCCAGACUCCUACGGGAGGCAGCAGUGGGGAAUUUUGGACAAUGGGCGAAAGCCUGAUCCAGCAAUGCCGCGUGUGUGAAGAAGGCCUUCGGGUUGUAAAGCACUUUUGUCCGGAAAGAAAUCCUUGGCCCUAAUACGGUCGGGGGAUGACGGUACCGGAAGAAUAAGCACCGGCUAACUACGUG